UCCUUCCACCUCCAAGUAUAAACCCCUCCUUAGUUAUACCCCAGUUCCCUCCUCUCCAUCCUUCAACUCACGAGGAUAUAUAUGUCCUCUCUUCUUUCCUUAGCUUCUCCGUGCUGUGUCCUAUGUUCUUGGUUCCUUAUGUAAUUCUUGUGCAGGCUGGCUAAUUAUUUCAUGAUUGGCUCCAUGUCUAAUGUGUGUGUUUUUUGCUCGAAUCAAUGUUUGUACGUGUUUGAGAGAGAGAGAGGAAAGGAGUGGUUGCCUGCGUGGGUGAGAGAGAGAGAGAGAUGGCUGUGGUAUGAUGGUUUUGCUCAAGACCGCGCAGCACUUCCAUAUGACACUGCAUCGACGUCCUCACCUAUCCAUCAAUCCGUCGUCAGCAUCGGAGAAGAAAAGCCGAAAGAGGAAGUACGUGAUCUGCGAGCAAGCAAGGAGGAGCGAUAGGUCAGGUCGUCGAUGCGCUGGUUAUGGCCUGGCUGCGUGGUCUUGCGCAAGAUCUUGCCAUGUGACGUCUCGCCACCUUCCUCUGUGUGUGUGUGCGCGCGCGCGCGCGUGUGCGCCCCAGCAUGCAUAUGUAUACAAGGGGCAACGGAGACACAGCCUCGCACACACAGAAAGAUAUGGGAGAAAGAGUUGGACGGUUUUCAGAUCUUAUAUAUUCAUACCCACAGCUAUUUGUCUUUUGGAAUGGUGAAAAACAAGUAGAGCACCACCAAUUGAUGAUCUCGAUACCCUUUUGAUGAGUCUGGAAGAAGGAGAGCUGGAAUGGGAUAUCAGUCCACCUCAUUCAUGCCAUGCCGAUGCAACUUUUCUCGUCUUUUGGUGUGCAUUUAAUAUCUAUUUUCCUUUCAGAUUUUUUUGUUUUAUUCUUUUCAGCUGAAGAGACCUGUGAUUGAGCGGAGCUGCGAUUAAAAAUAGAGAGAAGAAUGGGAUGAGAGGGGGUGAGAAGACGGGGAGCGGUGGCACUGUCCUAAUAAAACAAGGCAGUCCGUUCCAGGCUUUCCCAUCCUGCUCCAUCUCCGGGGCGCACACAACGGAGGAAGAGGCCCGUCCAUCGACAAAACUCCCGAGAAUGGCGACGAAACGGCCAGGGUUUCAGGUUCGGUCGUGCCCGACUCGUAUCUAAUCUCCGUUCCAUGCUGCGCCAUGUGCGGGUUCGGCACAGAUUCGAUCAAACGCCGUGUGCUGCACGUCGCCAUGUCCAUUGUUUCUUGUUUCUUCUCAAACCCUCAUCUCUCUCUCUCUCUCUCUCUCUCUUCCAAGACUAUAUUAUUAGGUUGGACAUUAGUGAGGGCUGGAUUUUGUGUGCCCCUUCGUUUCCCUGCUAAGGAUAGGGGUGUCAUCAUUUUUGGCCGUUUCCUUGAGUUUUCCCAAACGAUUCUAUAUGCUGUGAUUUGAGGGAUAACAGGCUUUUUAUGUGGUUCGGUGCAUCAUCUGAGGCUGAGGGCUUUUUGGCUCUACUAUUUCUGAAGAAUGUUAAUAGAUUUUUAUAAGAGUAGGGAUUGUCCAUAAUGUUGAGUUGAAGUGAAAUUUGUGUGGUGCUUGAUGCUAAUUAAAUAUAUUA